UAACCCAGCGAAAGUUGGACUAAUACCUUAUGUAUUCGUUUAUCUCAUGAGAUUACGAAUAAAGAUUUAUCGGUUAUGGAUGGGGAUGCGUCUGAUUAGCUUGUUGGCGGGGUAACGGCCCACCAAGGCGACGACCAGUAGGGGUUCUGAGAGGAAGGUCCCCCACAUUGGAACUGAGACACGGUCCAAACUCCUACGGGAGGCAGCAGCC
rnacentral:rRNA from 1 species